CGUGUCCGGGCGGAGGGGGCGGCGCGGCGCGGCGGAUCCAUGAUGGCGGCGCUGCAGCCGAAGGCGGGCGGCCCCCCGCAGAUCCCGGACACGCGGCGCGAGCUGGCCGAGCUCGUCAAGCGCAAGCAGGAGCUGGCGGAGACGCUGGCCAACCUGGAGCGGCAGAUCUACGCCUUCGAGGGCAGCUACUUGGAGGACACCCAGAUGUACGGGAACAUCAUCCGCGGCUGGGACCGCUACCUCACCAACCAGAAGAACUCCAACAGCAAGAACGACCGACGCAACCGGAAGUUCAAGGAAGCCGAGCGACUCUUCAGCAAGUCUUCGGUCACCUCGGCAGCCGCCGUCAGCGCGUUGGCCGGAGUUCAAGACCAGCUCAUUGAGAAGCGGGAGCCGGGCAGUGGGACAGAGAGCGACACUUCUCCAGACUUCCACAAUCAGGAGAACGAGCCCAGCCAGGAGGAUGCCGACGAUCUGGAUGGGUCUGUGCAGGGCGUGAAGCCCCAGAAAGCUGCUUCCUCCACUUCCUCGGGGAGUCACCACAGCAGCCACAAAAAACGGAAGAACAAAAACCGACACAGCCCGUCUGGCAUGUUUGAUUAUGACUUUGAGUAUGUAUAUUAGGUUAGGCUGGGAAGUUUUUUUUAAAAACAGAAAAACGUGACGGAGGAUUGAUCUCAAGUUAAACAAAAAGCCAAGAGCCGACUACUAGACUCAUCAGCACUGAAGCUUCCAGGACGUGGGCCCCACGCGAGUCUCCACCGAGGAAAAUGCCAAUCUAGCGCAGGAGUGGGCCGCCAGCUCUGCAGCCGCACGUCUGCAGCCGGAAGCAGCCAAUUCUGUCACACCGCCACGGGGGAGACCGUCUUGGCCGACAUACUUUGUGUCAUUGUGAGUCCCCUGGGACACAGGACUGGGCCGCGGCACGGGCGAUCUUCAGGCCCCAAGGGCUCGCGCUGUCGCCCGGCUGAAGGCACCCUCCAGCUGGCUGACCCCGCCGCCACCAUCGCCGUCGUCUGUCAUCACUGCCGAGAGACAUCACCGUCGCUCCCGUUCCCAGGGGAUGGGCCUGUUUGUCCGCGCGGGUUGUAAAUCUGUUACAUGAUUUUUUUUAAUACGGCUCGUUCGUGUUCUGUUCUUGUUCGGGGUUGUUUUAACCAAAGUGACAAACCGGCUCUUCAUCUUUUUCCUUUCCUACAAGCCCAGCCAGGCAGGCAUGCUCUUUGUUUUGGGGACCGCUCCACUGCAGUGGAAAUGCAAGUGGCUCCCCCUUGCCUCUCUCUCCUCCCUUCCCCAGGGCUCUGCGGGCUCUGAACCACGGGAAGGCUGGAGCCCAAAGCCCUCUUGCUCUGGGCGGUGUGUGGGGGGCGAGGGGUGGAGUCUCUUUUUAAUGCACCCUUCUGUCAUUUGUAUAUAAAACAAUAAAAGUCCCACGUUCGCGUC